rnacentral:rRNA from 1 species
UACAGAGGGUGCGAGCGUUGUCCGGAAUCACUGGGCGUAAAGGGCGCGUAGGCGGCCUGCUAAGUAGAGGGUGAAAUCCUACGGCUCAACCGCAGGGCUGCCUUCUAAACUGUCAGGCUGGAGCACGGUAGAGGCAGAUGGAAUUCCCGGUGUAGCGGUGGAAUGCGUAGAGAUCGGGAAGAACACCAGUGGCGAAGGCGGCUCACUGGCCUGGUAUUGACGCUGAGGUGCGAAAGCGUGGGGAGCAAACAGG